AAACCUCGUUUCUUCUCAUUCUCGUCUUCAGGUCACUUUCUUUCUCGUGGCUUCCAUCAUGCUUCGAAUCCAAACCCACUCUGUGGCUCUGCCGCCCGGAUUCUCUCCUUCCUGUUCUUCUCCCACCGCCAACUCACGAUUCUUCUCUCUCUCCGGCAAAUUCCCGAACUCGAUCCCUCUCUUCGUCCUGCGCCUCGGUAGAUCGCGCCGCGGGAGAUCCCUUCUUAGCCCCUGCAAGGCUUCCCUUGGCAAUGGCGACCGAGGGACCCCUGGAGAUGGCGGCGGUGGCUUCGGCACCGACGACGAUGACCAAUUCCUCCGGGCAUUUCUCCUCCUCUCAGAAACUGUCAGGCACUACAACCUGUGGAAGCAGGGUUUUGCAAUAGAUGAAAAAUGGAAUUUGCUUGGUCAUAGGCACUCUUUUUCUCAUCAGGCAAAAGGGGACAAUUCAAGCGAUAGCCCCUUUGGUCAUGGCUUUCUUCGUCGAUUUCAGAGCCCUACGAUAUUUCUCAAAAUUGCUUGUGAUGGGGAUCUACUAUUGCCAAUAAUUGUAGGAGAGUUUGCUGUUAGAAGACUUAUUAAUGACUCAACAGAUGAUCAACAUGAGGAAUGCCCAGAUCAGUUCCAGUUUGUGAAAAAUAUUGUGGGGACACUUGGCUAUGAGGUGAAAAUGGUGCGCAUUACAGAAAGAGUGGUCAAUACAUAUUAUGCACGCAUAUUCCUUGGAAAGCACACAGAGAGGACCAAUAUGAGCAUUGAUGCGCGCCCCUCAGAUGCUAUAAUUGUUGCCAAAAGGUUCCAGGCACCAAUUUAUGUAAGCAAGGCAAUUGUUCUAACAGAUGCUGUUAAAAUUGUUCAUGGAACGUCAAGAGGAAGUGGUGCAAAGACUGUUUAUGAUGUAACCAUGGACAGUGCAGCAGACGGCCCUGAUCUGCUUGUUGAGGAACUUGAUUUGGUCAGAAAGAUGAAUACAGCCGUCAUGGAGGAAAGAUAUGAAGAUGCAGGCAUCUAUGUUGAGAGACAAGCUUGCUAAGCUCCGCACGCCAAAACAAGAACUGUAGAGAAUUCUUAAUCAAGAUCUGACUUGGUUCAGGCUUCCCUCAGUCAAAAUCCCCUUCCACAAGGUUGAAAUGGAAAGAUAGCAACAAUAGAAAGGGUUUAUGGCUGUUUAAGCUCGGUAUCAAGCAUUGCUGAUAUGUUCAACUUGAAGAGCAAUAUCUUGGAGUCAAACAAGAUCCCAUUAAGUCUCACCAAAACUGCAGCAUGCUAUGUACAGUGCAAAGUUGUACUGCCCUGUUGAUGGCUUGUGUAUUUAUGGAUUCAGAAAAUUUCACAGCUUAUCUUGUUCUAUAUGAUUUUGUUCCCGGAAAACUUUUUUAUCAUUAAAGGAUUGGAUGUUGAUGAACUUUGAAAGCACUUGGUAAGCUGGAUCACUUCAUCAUUUGGCUGUCUACUGAUGAGGCUGCCAAGGUUGGUAAAGCAAGCAGAAGGAAACUGAUAGAAAGCAUAAACCAGGUGUGUGUUUUCCUCUUCUAUUUUUGCUUUUAUCCACUGUUUGAUUAUGCUUGUAUUUGAAUAGGUGUAUGUGAUACAUAUGGCGGUAACACUAACCAUGAUCACGAACAAAAUUCAAAUAGACGAUGAUUGUUUUAGUCCUUUUGAUCUGUUGCUCUACUAAUGCAUGCCCUAAUCCAAGAAUAUAAUUUACCAUCUCAUACUAGAGAAACAAAACCUUGAUCGACUUGAGCAGAAUGGUCGAACGCACUGUCGAAAAAGUCUAAACAUUUGUCUGAUCUAUUUUGAGUCUCAGAAAUGACUUUUCAGAACCUUAUAUUUAACAAAUAGUCUUUUGUAAAAUCAGGAUCUACAUUUGUAAAAUUUUAUGAUAAACUACAAUUUUCACUGUGCAUAGUAUUGAAUAAGAAGGAUUGAAUCCAUAUAGACCCUGCUUGCAUAGAGCAGUAUCCAGGCCAAUCCUACAGGAUUUAAUAAUCCCAGGGUUAAAACUCAGCACAGGUGAGGAAUAACUGUUUGGGUGACUAAUCCUAGGGAUAGCUAACCUAUGGAAAUAAACUUUUAUCCUAUAGGAUAAAAAUAAAGUGGUCAAGGGAACAUUAUUUUUAUCUUGUCGUCAUCACCCUCUGCUUCUCUGUCCCUUGUCUCUAUCGUGGUACCCAGCGGCCAGCACAUACAGUGACUGCCUCCCUUGCCGCCUCUGACCUCAGAUUUCCAUCUCCAUUCUCCACCGACCUUCGGCUCAUGUUUUGGAUGCCACCUGCGAGUUUUGUCAAUUUCUUCUUCCGAAUCAAUGGUCAUGAGGAUGACACCAACAUUGGCACCAUACCUGAUGUGGGACUUAGCCUUGCAUGGCUAAGCAUAGAUGACGUGAUCUGGAGAGAUUCCAAGGGCCAGGACUACCUCAAUCUCCCCAUGGCUGGCACAGUCAAAUCCAGAACCAAGUGCUGCCAUUGUUCCAAGGCAGGCAGGCCCUGGGUUGCACUUGACUGCACAAAAGUGCUGGACCUCCAGACACUGGGUCCAUUUCUUGAAGAGCUCUACAACUACACCAAGAUCCAAGAUAUAGAAUGGGUCUUUCACUGCGUGCUUCCUGGUGAUGAUAGACUAAAUGAGGCUGGUUACACCUUCGAGUCUCUUCUGAGGCUUGAUACCUUCUUCCACUUGACCCCUGUGGCAUGGAGCACAGCCUUGAUGGAGGAUAUGGUAAAGGCAUUUCUGAAUUUUUUUGGAGUUUUAGGAGGGGUUUCUGCAUGUGUCUGGAGCAGUCGAUGCCUUGUAUUAGUUUUCCCUCGGCUCAAAUGGCAAGAAUUUUAAACGACCAUUCCAGAGGAGCUGUAUUUUCUUUAUUAUGUCCCCAUUUGCCCCGUUUAAGUAGUAACUAGUAAGCAAUUGACUUACUGAUAUUGCAGGUGACCCGGGAGCAGGGCUAUUUUUAAACUAUUCUGAGACACGUACCUUUUUUUUAUUACAGUGAUGCAACCAUCUGGGCAUGAUACCCAUAUCAUGAAUUGUAGGACCAAAGAAAUGGGCAGGUGACAAUAAUGCUGGAGGUGACUUGGCAAUGCUACGGAUGAUGCUUGAAUUUUUUUGAGAUGGAAGAAUAUAAAAUCCGUGGUUGGUUAUAUACAGAUUGCAGAUAUGUGUAUAUGAUAUUAGGAUGUGAAACAUGCUACUCAUACUAAAAUGCUGUCAGGAUGAUUUGCUUUGAGGAUGCAUUGCAUCCCAAUUUGGGGUUACGCAGUUUUUUUUUUUCUGUUGACAUGAUCGGUUGGAAAUUAGUGGACCUUGAGCAGAGGAUGAGAGAGGGGCAGCUUCCUUUGCAAUUAUUGUUGCACUGUCCUCCAAUAAGCUUCUGGUGUACAUUGGAAUCGGAAAGCAAAGUUUAUCGUGAGCCAGGAAGAAGUAUUAGUCCUAGGUGAGCAGAACAUGCAUUUGGAACUCUGGCUUUGUGGAACUGCAGUAUUUUUGGAUGCAGAGCGAUAUUGCACUAUGUUAGGUCCGUUUUGUCAUUUUGCGAUGCUCACCAAGUCUUGACGAAUCCUUAUUUAAAUUUGAAGCUUCAUCAAUGUCACACUGUCUGGAAUGUGAAAGGGCUGGCAAAUCACAAAAAGGUCUUUUUUGGGAUUGAAGGAGGCUGAGAAGGCAGCCACCUGAAAUGAAGGUCACAAUUCGAGAGACAUUACUUUCAUCGACGUGCCUGGUGACCUGCCUCCAUGGGACUGAGCUUAACCAACUCAUAGCCUAGCAACUUAAUCCAUAUAUGGAAAGGACCAUGACGAAUGGGGCUUUUAUGGAGGAAUUAUAACAAAUUGGAACUCUUCAAGAAUCAAUAAAGCCUGUUCACCUUCCU